UACGAAGGGGGCUAGCGUUGUUCGGAAUUACUGGGCGUAAAGCGCGCGCAGGCGGCUAUCCAAGUCAGUGGUGAAAGCCCGGAGCUCAACUCCGGAACUGCCAUUGAAACUGUUUAGCUGGAGUAUGAGAGAGGUGAGUGGAAUUCCCAGUGUAGAGGUGAAAUUCGUAGAUAUUGGGAAGAACACCGGCGGCGAAGGCGGCUCACUGGCUCAUUACUGACGCUCAUGCGCGCAGCGUGGGGAUCAAACAGG
rnacentral:rRNA from 1 species